UCCAGCAGGAGUCAGCUCUCCAGACAGCAUCAUGCCUGUGAGGGUAUGAUGGGAGAGGAAUGCCCUGUCUUCUUCCUCCAGUUGCCCCCUUCACACUUCUGGUGACAUGUGGCACUGGUGCAGGGCAGAACUGUGCUUCCAUGAGAGUGAGCAAAGCAUCACUUUGAUUGCUUUGUUCUAGUGAAUGAGCAGACACA